rnacentral:rRNA from 1 species
AUUGAACGCUGGCGGCAGGCCUAACACAUGCAAGUCGAGCGGGGUUUUCGGACCUAGCGGCGGACGGGUGAGUAAUGCGUAGGAAGCUACCCGAUAGAGGGGGAUACCAGUUGGAAACGACUGUUAAUACCGCAUAAUGUCUACGGACCAAAGUGUGGGACCUUCGGGCCACAUGCUAUCGGAUGCCCCUACGUGGGAUUAGCUAGUUGGUGAGGUAAUGGCUCACAAAGGCGACGAUCCCUAGCUGGUUUGAGAGGAUGAUCAGCCACACUGGAACUGAGACACGGUCCAGACUCCUACGGGAGGCAGCAGUGGGGAAUAUUGGACAAUGGGCGCAAGCCUGAUCCAGCCAUGCCGCGUGUGUGAAGAAGGCCUUCGGGUUGUAAAGCACUUUCAGUAGGGAGGAAGCGUUGUGUGUUAAUAGUACACAGCGCUGACGUUACCUACAGAAGAAGCAUCGGCUAACUCUGUGUCAGCCGCCGCCGUAAAAC